UACGUAGGGAGCGAGCGUUGUCCGGAAUUAUUGGGCGUAAAGGGCGCGUAGGCGGGAAUUUAAGUCAGAUGUGAAAACUGAGGGCUCAACUUUCAGAUUGCAUUUGAAACUGGAUUUCUUGAGGGCAGGAGAGGAAAGUGGAAUUCCUAGUGUAGCGGUGAAAUGCGUAGAUAUUAGGAGGAACAUCAGUGGCGAAGGCGACUUUCUGGACUGAACCUGACGCUGAGGCGCGAAAGCGUGGGGAGCAAACGGGAUUAGAUACCCCUGUAGUCCCU
rnacentral:rRNA from 1 species